rnacentral:rRNA from 1 species
GGGGGAAGUAUUCACAAUGGGCGCAAGCCUGAUGCAGCCAUGCCGCGUGUAUGAAGAAGGCCUUCGGGUUGUAAAGUACUUUCAGCGAGGAGGAAGGCAUUAAGGUUAAUAACCUUAGUGAUUGACGUUACUCGCAGAAGAAGCACCGGCUAACUCCGUGCCAGCAGCCGCGGUAAUACGGAGGGUGCAAGCGUUAAUCGGAAUUACUGGGCGUAAAGCGUACGCAGGCGGUCUGUCAAGUCGGAUGUGAAAUCCCCGGGCUCAACCUGGGAACUGCAUUCGAAACUGACAGGCUAGAGUCUUGUAGAGGGGGUAGAAUUCCAGGUGUAGCGGUGAAAUUGCGUAGAGAUCUGGAGGAAUACCGGUGGCGAAGGCGGCCCCCUGGACAAAGACUGACGCUCAGGUGCGAAAGCGUGGGAGCAAACA